UAUAUAUCAGCGAGUGUUAAAAAUCUAAAAAACAAACAAAGCAAUGAGGACUUUACAAUAAUCAAUAACAAACCGAUUUUUGCAGUUGCAACUUUCCUCUACACCUCUAUGUAUAUCUGUUUUCACUAUGUUUCAUAACUUUCUUUUAAUUGUCGGCUUUUUUUUCCUUAUUUGCGUAUUUAUUUCUUUAUAUAGCACCUCUCUAACACCCGAGAUCGAUUUAUUAAGUACAUAACACAAAGUAUCAUCAUUAACAACAUAAUUUGAUAAUUUAAUAAUUUGAUCGUAGUUGCUGUUUAUAAAUCAUCCAUGUGUGUAUAUCUAGCAUACUGCACGUUAUGCAACCAAUCGUUGUUUUUUUUUUUUCUCCUCUUCCGCACAAACUACGCAGUAACUGUAGCAGCCCUGUGGCGCUUAGCUCGUGCAGCUCGUGUCGCGCGGAUAUGACGUAGGCGCCACACCACAUUGCCGCGAAAUAUCAAAACGCGCGUGACACAAUCGAGCUAACGGGUUUAUACAAAAUGGCUGUUCAGUGAGGCGUGGUUUAGCUUAAGCUGUUUUUAUUUUUCUUCUCUUGUUAGUCAGGUCAGCUAGCUCACGGUUUAGCCUGUUUACAGUUUCGGUUUGAGGUCAUUUUUGUUUAUUUAUUUUUUUUCUAAGAAGAAAAUGAUAAAAGGUCGGGUUAAAGGCGGGGACGAGGAGCUGCUGGUUCUUCCAGAGAAGCUGGAGAAGAGGCUGCUGCUAUUUCAGCGCGACGGAGUCAAAUUCGCUCUUUCCAGAGCUGGAAGAGCGGAAGCACUUUCUUUACGCUCAAAGGGACAAAGUCUCAUAGUGGACAUGCCGUGAGCAGGCAGGAUGGUGAAGCAAGGCCUCAUCCUCGAUUUUAUCAUCUAUCUAUCACGGGUACCAUAACACUUACAUGCUGAAUGACUUAACAUGAUCUAAAUGGAAUAUAUAUAUAUAUAUAUAAAUAAUAUAUCAGCACAAAUAAAGAACGUGUUGGAGAAAAAGGACGUGCGGAGACGCUCAGUUUGUCACAUCUAGAACCAAGAAUCCGCAGCAGAAUUUUCUUCUUGGUUGGCUCAGAUGGCCAGAGCGAUGACAUGCCUUCCAUUUUGUCGUAUAAAUAAACAGAACAUCCAUGGUCUAAACGACAGAAUACUCGAGACGAGACGUACGCUUGCCUACGACCGAACAGCAUGAACUUCCCUGCUGAUCGCGAGCCGAAACACAAAGCCGCGAGUGCUGCGGGACUCCAGAUUAGCAUACGCCGUGCUGACACAAUUACGGCGCUUAAUGAGCCCUGAACGCCGCGCGCCGCAUUAACCUGCCACCGCAGCACUUCCUGCCCCUCCGCCACGUUCCAGCAGCAAAAUAUGCGUCUGUCUUCAUAUCCAGCAUGCACGCAAGGGCCGAUCGAUACUUAUCGACCUGUACGACGGGUCUACAGGGGCAGACGGUCAAUACGAGCGUUUCUAAUCAUGUUGUAACCGUGGUAGGAACGCACAAGAAAGGAAAGCUAGAGAGAUUAGUUAAGAUCAAGGCUAAUUGUAGAACAAAGGCUGGAGAUGAGACCGUUUGAAAGGGCUGUGAGUGUUGCCUUGAAAGAAUUUGGGACGUUUGUAGUCAAUCAUGGAUUAUACUAUAGACUAGGGACGCAUUGGGUUUCAGUAGUGGUAUCGGGCACCUCUUCAUCCGGGUCAGGGUUGUGCAGAGUGUGAGGCAGGAGUAUACACCCAUGAGAUGGUUGUGUGCAUGGUCCAUCGCAUGGCGAAUUCUUACAAGUACAUUCAAAUAAAUGAAAAAAUGGUACUGAGAGCCCCCCCCCCCCAUCCGAUUAAUCAAAAAAAAAUCUGCAGCCCUAAGACUGGUCCGUUACAAAAUGCUGAUCAUCUCCAGAAGCCGUUCCUUUGUUGGCUUGAAUUUGUGCUUUGGGGCGUUAUGACCUUUUCUCCUUCAUCUUGAGCUGUCUAACGCAGGCCUGCAGGUACAGUAGUGUGCCAGAAUAGAUAGGAAUUCUGAGAUAUCCAUGAUUUCCUCUAUCAUGACUAAAUCCCCAGUCCCAGCUGAAGAGAUGCAGCCCCACAGCAUGACGCCUCCUCCACCAUGCUUCACUGCGAGUAUGGUGUUCUUCAGGUGAUAAGAUGUCGUCUCGUUUCUGCAUCAAACAUAUCUUUUAGAAUCCUGCCCCAAAAGUUCUACCCUAGUCUCAUCAGAUAACACAUUAUUUUGCUCGCCAAACUAGAGACAACAGAUCGUCACGUGCAGGGAGUGAACUGUAGCGGUCGUAUCCCUGCAGCUCUCGCAGGUCUCUCGGCAGCCUCCCUGAUAACUCUCGCACUUUCGUCGGGUUUGGACGGACAUCCUGUUCUUUAAAUAAGAUCUUUGUAGACCAUGGCUUCAGCAGAUGGAUGAAACCAAGAUGAAAAAGCACCAUGCGUAAGAUCCUGUAGAGAUUCUGAGGUGUUUUUAGUUGUGUAUUGACAUUUAGAAGGGUGGGGGUGGGGGUGGGGGGCCCUGAAAAAGCUAUUCUUAAUGAUUUGUGUUUACAUUUUAAACAAUCUCAUUUAGGAUUAGUAGAUCUAGUCUGAAAUGAACUCGUAUGUUUACGUAUUAUAUUUAACCGUACCGGCGCUUUAAUAAC
ensembl:lncRNA